rnacentral:rRNA from 1 species
AUUGAACGCUGGCGGCAGGCCUAACACAUACAAGUCGAACGGUAACAGGAAGAAGCUUGCUUCUUUGCUGACGAGUGGCGGACGGGUGAGUAAUGUCUGGGAAACUGCCUGAUGGAGGGGGAUAACUACUGGAAACGGUAGCUAAUACCGCAUAACGUCGCAAGACCAAAAAGGGGGACCUUCGGGCCUCUUGCCAUCGGAUGUGCCCAGAUGGGAUUAGUUAGUAGGUGGGGUAACGGCUCACCUAGGCGACGAUCCCUAGCUGGUCUGAGAGGAUGACCAGCCACACUGGAACUGAGACACGGUCCAGACUCCUACGGGAGGCAGCAGUGGGGAAUAUUGCACAAUGGGCGCAAGCCUGAUGCAGCCAUGCCGCGUGUAUGAAGAAGGCCUUCGGGUUGUAAAGUACUUUCAGCGGGGAGGAAGGGAGUAAAGUUAAUACCUUUGCUCAUUGACGUUACCCGCAGAAGAAGCACCGGCUAACUCCGUG